GUGGGGAAUAUUGGACAAUGGGCGAAAGCCUGAUCCAGCCAUGCCGCGUGUGUGAAGAAGGUCUUCGGAUUGUAAAGCACUUUAAGUUGGGAGGAAGGGCAGUAAGUUAAUACCUUGCUGUUUUGACGUUACCGACAGAAUAAGCACCGGCUAACUUCGUGCCAGCAGCCGCGGUAAUACGAAGGGUGCAAGCGUUAAUCGGAAUUACUGGGCGUAAAGCGCGCGUAGGUGGUUUUGUAAGUUGGAGGUGAAAUCCCCGGGCUCAACCUGGGAACUGCCUCCAAAACUGCAUGACUAGAGUACGGUAGAGGGUAGUGGAAUUUCCUGUGUAGCGGUGAAAUGCUUAGAUAUAGGAAGGAACACCAGUGGCGAAGGCGACUACCUGGACUGAUACUGACACUGAGGUGCGAAAGCGUGGGGAGCAAACAGGAUUAGAUACCCCGGUAGUCC
rnacentral:rRNA from 1 species